rnacentral:siRNA from 1 species
CUACUUGCCAUACGUAGAUCC